rnacentral:rRNA from 1 species
GCUUGUCUCAAAGAUUAAGCCAUGCAUGUCUAAGUAUAAACAUCUUUAUACUGUGAAACUGCGUACAGCUCAUUAUAUCAGUAAUUAUUUAUUUGAUGGUACUUACUUACUCGGAUAACCGUAGUAAUUCUAGAGCUAAUACGUGCGUAAAUCCCGACUUCUGGAAGGGACGUAUUUAUUAGAUAAAAGGCCGACCGGGCUCUGCCCGACUCGCGGUGAAUCAUGAUAACUUCACGAAUCGCACGGCCUCGUGCCGGCGAUGUUUCAUUCAAAUUUCUGCCCUAUCAACUUUUGAUGGUAGGAUAGAGGCCUACCAUGGUGGUAACGGGUGACGGAGGAUUAGGGUUCGAUUCCGGAGAGGGAGCCUGAGAAACGGCUACCACAUCCAAGGAAGGCAGCAGG